ACGUGUCCGAUACUGAGUGACUGACAGACUACGCACAGCUCGCUCGGGAUCUAGUGAUUUCAAAUUUGGCAUGUAAAUUCCCUAUGUGAUAUAAGAGUGCACUAAGGGAUUUUCCGGAAUACAUAGAUAUAUCUUUUGGUGCCGGGAAUCACACCGCACUUUUUCUAAAUACGCGGGCGAAGUCGCGAGCGAUCUCUAGUUUGUUAUUAAAGGCUUAAUUAUUGUAAAAACAUACAAAUAAAAAGAAGGUCUGGUAGCGCCGUCACUGAUAUUGACGCUGCUCUGCUGCACUCUGUGCUAUUGUGAUGUUAUAAGAGAGAUCCUACGAUGAUGGCAGGCUACAAGCGACCCAGCUAUCAAAUAAAUACAUUAAAGAAAUAACUGUAAAUAAGAGUUUUAAGUUAAACUAGUUUUACAAAUGAUUGUGUAAUGAAUUAAAAAUAUUUGACUCCAAUGAGUUCCUAAAUCAAUUUGAAAACAAAUGUUUUUUCUGUUUGAGAUUAUUUUCUAAUUUAAAUUUUCA